rnacentral:rRNA from 1 species
UACGUAGGGUGCGAGCGUUGUCCGGAAUUAUUGGGCGUAAAGGGCUCGUAGGCGGUUUGUCGCGUCGGGAGUGAAAACCCAGGGCUUAACCCUGGGCUGGCUUCCGAUACGGGCAGACUAGAGGUAUGCAGGGGAGAACGGAAUUCCUGGUGUAACGGUGAAAUGCGCAGAUAUCAGGAGGAACACCGGUGGCGAAGGCGGUUCUCUGGGCAUUACCUGACGCUGAGGAGCGAAAGUGUGGGGAGCGAACAGG